AGUCCAUUAAGCCUAGUUGCUUAGCGUUGGGAGCAUUACCGUAUGGUAACUCCUUAAAGUCAGUGGCAGGGUUACGGUACACUCUAAGCGUAGUAGAUUUCUUUCUCGCUUUUGCUGUGGCCGCGGCCGUCGCCAUAAACCUAUAUAUUUUUUAAUUGG
rnacentral:misc_RNA from 1 species